rnacentral:lncRNA from 1 species
CCUAAGCGCUAACCCCUUCGCUACCCAACCAGAAAUAACCAAAAAUAUGUCGCACCAGCACCACAAGGGAUUGCCUACGACAGCACCGCAAGCUACCUUCAGAGAUGCGUGUCUGCCUCCCAGCAAACGCUAACGUCGUCUGGUAUAAGUAAGUAGGAUCUAAAACAAGAUAUAACAGAAAUCAAUUAGCAAUAUGUUGCUGUUAAGAGAAACAACCACCCUAAAUUAAUUUGGGGAGUUACGGAGGGAAGGGAGGGCGCACCAUUGCUGGACCUUCCUGAACUCUGUAAGGACAGGGUAUAUGUUUUCAAAGGCCUUGUAUGUGUCAUCCCUCACCUAACUCAUCAAAUUAAACAAAAUGUUAGCAAAUCGUCCAAACGCAAAAGCAUGAGUAAUUAAAUAGCAACCGA